UACGUAGGAGGCAAGCGUUGUCCGGAAUUACUGGGCGUAAAGCGCGUGUAGGUGGUGGGACAAGUCUGCUGUGAAAGCGCCUGGCUUAACCGGGCGAGGUCGGCGGAAACUGUCCGACUAGAGGACGGUAGAGGGGGGUGGAAUUCCCGGUGUAGUGGUGAAAUGCGUAGAGAUCGGGAGGAACACCUGUGGCGAAGGCGGCCCCCUGGGCCGGCCCUGACACUGAGACGCGAAGGCGUGGGUAGCAAACAGG
rnacentral:rRNA from 1 species